GAUCAAAGUGUAGUAUCUGUUCUUAUCAGCUUAAUAUCUGAUACGACCUCCAUCGGGGGUCAAGAUAUUAAUCUUAUUUUUGGCAUGGGGCGGAAAGCUUGAGGCUUGCUUCACCUCCGCCGCGGGUUGGC
rnacentral:snRNA from 1 species